rnacentral:lncRNA from 1 species
AGAGAGUUAAAUUUCCUGCCCAGCUUUCACAUGAGUGCUCAAAAUAGGUUAAUGAGGCUGCAUUUGAGAUAAGAUACUAAGGUGUAGGGGAUCUAUGCAACUUGGAUGAAAGAGGGAAAGGCCUUUGGAAGGGAGGUUCAUUUCAUAGUAGAGCAUGUGCACAGAUUCUCCAAGUCACGUUAAGACAGUGAAGAGAAACAGGCAGAGGGGAGCAUGCACCCAAAAUUUGCUUCCAAUCAAUUCAAAUGGUGUAUAACAGCUCUGGGUAUCUUGUCAGCCAGAAAAAGGUGAAAAAAGGAAACAAUGAACUCUCCCUCCACAUCUGAACACCAUACAUAGACUAAGACAUUCCUAUUUCUGUGGGAGCAAUGCACCACUUGCUCUCCCUUUCACAAAUGUUGGUAGAUAGUGUUAUCAAAACAAGUUGGGUUUUUUUGUUUGGGUUUUUUGUACAUAUUUCAAUUAGAAUUGUGAGCCUUGAUUGCUGUGAAUUAUAACUUAAGAGUACUGAAAAAGGG